GAUGAACGCUGGCGGCGUGCCUAAUACAUGCAAGUCGAGCGAACAGAUAAGGAGCUUGCUCCUUUGACGUUAGCGGCGGACGGGUGAGUAACACGUGGGUAACCUACCUAUAAGACUGGAAUAACUACGGGAAACCGGGGCUAAUGCCGGAUAACAUUUAGAACCGCAUGGUUCUAAAGUGAAAGAUGGUUUUGCUAUCACUUAUAGAUGGACCCGCGCCGUAUUAGCUAGUUGGUAAGGUAACGGCUUACCAAGGCAACGAUACGUAGCCGACCUGAGAGGGUGAUCGGCCACACUGGAACUGAGACACGGUCCAGACUCCUACGGGAGGCAGCAGUAGGGAAUCUUCCGCGAUGGGCGAAAGCCUGACGGAGCAACGCCGCGUGAGUGAUGAAGGUCUUCGGAUCGUAAAACUCUGUUAUUAGGGAAGAACAAAUGUGUAAGUAACUGUGCACGUCUUGACGGUACCUAAUCAGAAAGCCACGGCUAACUACGUG
rnacentral:rRNA from 1 species